rnacentral:rRNA from 1 species
UAACCGGNGGNACUUAAGCAUAUCAAUAAGCGGAGGAAAAGAAACCAACAGGGAUUGCCCUAGUAACGGCGAGUGAAGCGGCAACAGCUCAAAUUUGAAAUCUGGCCCUCGGGUCCGAGUUGUAAUUUGUAGAGGAUGCUUUUGGCAAGGUGCCUUCCGAGUUCCCUGGAACGGGACGCCAUAGAGGGUGAGAGCCCCGUCUGGUCGGACACCGCGCCUCUGUAAAGCUCCUUCGACGAGUCGAGUAGUUUGGGAAUGCUGCUCUAAAUGGGAGGUAUAUGUCUUCUAAAGCUAAAUAUUGGCCAGAGACCGAUAGCGCACAAGUAGAGUGAUCGAAAGAUGAAAAGCACUUUGAAAAGAGAGUUAAAAAGUACGUGAAAUUGUUGAAAGGGAAGCGAUUAUGACCAGACUUGGGCCUGUUUGAUCAACUUGGGUUCUCCCGGGUGCACUCUCUCAGGCCUAGGCCAGCAUCAGUUCGUCGCGGGGGACAAAGGUCGCGGGAAUGUGGCUCCCCUCGGGGAGUGUUAUAGCCCGUUUCGUAAUACCCUGCGUCGGACUGAGGUUCGCGCAUUUGCAAGGAUGCUGGCGUAAUGGUCAUCAUCGACCCGUCUGAAACACGACCAGNNNCC